GCAAAAAGAGUGAACAAUAUAAGGCCACUUUGCAGCUUCUACCGUCCUUUACUCCAUCGGUGUCUCCCUCUCGAAUCUUCUGGCAGAUGACAACUCCCAUGGCCUCUCUCUAUAUCUCACCCUCUCUCCCUCUAUCUUCUGGGAUUGUUCUUCGUGACUCCCAUGGCCUCUCACCGCCGCCUCACGAUCUCCUCACAAAUCAUGUGCACUCUCUCUCUCAUCACCGCGCCAACGCAGACGAUAGAUCCACCACCGUCGACGCCGCCUCUCUGUCUCACCACCACCGAAGCCCUCACCGACGCCGCCCCAUAGGCGAUCGGUUUCCUGGCGUUGUCUCGAUGUUGAACCUUGUCGGCCGACGUAUGAUCUUAAAGUCUGGGUCGAAGUGCUGAGGUUCAAGGGUUCCUCUAAAUCUGAAAAGUGAAGGCAUUGGGUAUUUUGUUCCAAUGGAUGUGAAAUCCCCCAAUAUUCAAGUAGGUUGGGUUUGGAUUUCAUCGAAUGCCGUAGUUUUUUAAAUCCCCCAAUCUUCGAAAGCCCUAAUUUUAGAUUACGAUUUCAUUGAUUAGGGCUUUGGUAGCAUUGUGGAGAGAGAAGAGUUUCCUGAAGAUUUCGACAAGUACUUGCGCGCAGAGCUCAACUGGUCUCGAUUGGAGGACGACAUUAGAGAGAAACCCACGUCGCCGGUUGGGUUUUCUGGUGUCGAGAAGACGACAGACCACCCUAUGCUCCUCCGGUUUUCGAUUGCGGCAUUCUCUGAAAAUCUCAUUGGCUUAGAGCUAGAAGAUUGGGGAGCGCGUGGUACUUCAAUUAGUUUACCCUUCUUUUCUAUUCCAAAUUUCCAAUUUGUUGUGAAGCCUGUCAAUAAUGCUAUUGUAGCGUUCUUUCCCACCAAUACUUUUAUUAUCUGUUGAUAUCAUUAUCUGAUUGUUUAACUACCAAUAUUUGUUAUCUGUCAAUAAUGCUAUUGCAAUCCUUAGUUCGUUAAAGCUUGGUAGAAGAUAUUGGUUGAUCACUGUGCAGUUAAUGACUGGAAAAAGGAAAACUUGAUACGAUUAUAUGCGAUGCUACGUAAAUCUAUACACUAAUUUCCGCAGGUAAAUUGCUCGUAUGCUGCCAGUGUCAUAAAUAAUAAUGUUCAAUAAUGUGCUUUAGGAUCCCACUUAUAGAAAUGGCUUCUGUAGAAUGAUAUCAUGACUACUAGAUCAGUUGUUUUGAAAAUGACACUGACCCUUAUUAGAGGAUAAUGGAUGGUACCAGGUGAAUUAUAACAUGGCUGAUCGUCUUGAUAGGGGAAGCAACUAAGGAACUGAAUUUGCUCCCGCCCCUUGCAGUCCUUGGAAAGGAGCAUACCAUUGCAACACGACGCAGUUGUCAGGCUGUACAUAUAUCAAGGAGGCAAAAGGUUACUGCUCGAUUAUAAGUUACAGCGGGGACCUUCCUUAGAGGGCCUGUUAAAAAGGGGGAGACUUUUGGUCUACAGAUUUUCUCUCUCUCUCUCUCUCUCUCUCUCUCUCUCUCUCUCUCUCUCUCUCUCCUCUACCGCUUCACUCCAAGCCCUAAUUCCUUCCACAAACCCCCAGCCAUGGACGACAACAACAGCCAACAACCCAACCUCAUCGCCGCUCCCCCCCAACUCACCCCCGAUGACGUACGCUCCCUCCUCUCCUCCUUCACCGAUGAUCAGCUCCUCCAGUAUGGGCACUGUGCCACGAAAAGCGUUCGGAAGGUAUUUUGCUGGCUACCGAUUUUGGCAAGGGAAACCGGUGCACCAUUUGGAAGUGAUCAAUAGGGUGCAGGGAUACUGGAAAACAAUGACAGAACCCUGUUCCUUGGUGACAAAAGAUCAAAAUUUGGUUUCUUAAGUGUCUUGACAGUGGAUGUGCAUGGUGCUUGAAUUCAUAACUUGGAUUCUACACUGGUUAUGGCUUCUUCUUGUCGUUUUGGAUUGCUGAAUGGAAAACAAAUUCCCACUUGAUCAUCCCUUCAUUGUAAUUUAUAGGCAUGUGCAUGUGCUGCUUGUGUGAAAAUAUACUGCAUUGGGGUUUGGUCCUAUCGAACCACUAUUUCUUCGUAUAUAUAGAAAGUUCAUUGGUUAUAAAUUCUUGGCAAAAGUUAUCCAAGCCUCUUCUUUGCAAUUAUUUGCAGUCAUGAACAAUUGGUUCUGGAUAUGUGCCAAUAUUGAUGGAUGAUGUAUGUGCCAUGAUAGUUUGGGUGUUUUGGCUUGCAA